CCUCUUCCGUCACACUCUCUCUCUCUCGCCCGCCAUGGCUUCGAUCUCCGCUCCACGGUCCCUUCGCCCAGAGCCAAGCCCCGUCCACCUCAUCGCGGCUGCUCGGAGGCGCCCCUUCCCUGCCUUCCUUCGUUCCUCCGGCCGUGACCCCAGACACCUGAACUCCACCUUCUGCCGCUGUUCUCUUAGAGAUGGAUCCGGUUGGCGAGGAUGGGAAUCAAUGAUCCAGGAUCUUCUGAGAAGCGCUGUGAAGAGAUUUGAUGAUUAUGUGAGCUCGCGUUGGAGUUCAGGUUGGAAGGAUGCGGGAAAUUUGAGUGCUUUGAAGGAGGAGGAGGAGGAGGAGGAGGGGGAGGAGAAGGAGGGGGAUGUGGAGUGGGAUUGGGACCGGUGGAGAAGGCACUUCUUGGAGGUGGAAGAGCAAGAGAGACUCGUUGAUGCUCUCAAGUUACAAUUGCGUAUUGCUGCUGCAAAAGAAGAUUAUAAAGAAGCUGUGAGGCUAAAGGCUGCUAUUACUGCUGCAACUAAAAACGAUGUUGUGGGCACUGCUGUGUCUGAUCUAAAUAGAGCUAUUGUAGAAGAGCGUUACUAUGAUGCUGCUUUCUUGCGGGACCAUGCUGGUGCUGGAUUGAUGGGUUGGUGGGCUGGUAUUUCAACAAACACAGCUGGGGCUUAUGGUCAAAUUAUCCACAUAAGCGCAGAACACGGAAGAUAUGUUGCCAAAAGCUACAAUUCCAGGCAGCUAGCUGCAGCUAAGCCAGGUUUCCCUCUAUUUGAAAUUUUUUUCACUGUGAGUGGUGGAGAAUACAAGGAGCAGGCUGUUUAUUUGAAAUGUAAUGAAGGAUCCUCUGGAGGUUUCCAGUGGGAAACCCCAAAGAAGACAAAACUUAGCAGCUUGAACCCAUCAGAUGGCUCAAAUGAUGGACAGAGUGAUAUUUAUCUGGAAGAUAUAACAGGUCUUGAAGACAAGGAUGAUGACUUUGAUAUGAUUGAUGGACUGGCCAAAAUCCAAAAUGUUUUACGGGAUAUGAUUCCUGGUGUAAAGAUCAAGGUCUUGAAAGUUGUUGCACCAGGAAAGGUUGAUAGAGAUAUGAUUUCCAAAGUCAUUGAACAGAUUGCAGAAGAGGAUGAUGACACUGAUGAAGAUUUGGAAAAUGGGGAGUCAGAAAGUAGUGCAAGUGAGACUGACCAUGAAGGUGAAGUUGAUUCUCAAGACACAACUAGUGGUGCGGAGGAUCUGCUACCUGAAUCACCAGUAAAGUUUGUAAUUGGUACACUUACACAAAACCUCUCUGCUGAUUUGCCACCUAAAGGUUUAAUUCGUGUGCCAGCUGUGCUCAAGAGAAAGGAUCACCGGUCAUUCUCGUUCUCUAUACAGCAAAAUGAUAUGCAUCAAGAAACUGAUGAGAAAGAGUGGUUGUUGGGGAAAAAGGUUGUGGCACCAUUAGAUCAGCAGAGCACUGAUCUUGAUGCGUCUGAUCUUGCUAAAGUCCUCCUAAGUAAGGAGAAGAUACCUAUGAAGGUACUCAAAAAUUUUGGUGAAUUAGUAAGUUCUGCCAUUAGGCAAGAUCAAAACAAACCUUUCACUGGCACGAUGCUUUAUAACCGCAUUGAAAUACCAUCUUCCGCGGAUCCUCUUAGCGGCCUAUAUAUUGGUGCACAUGGAUUAUAUGCUUCCGAAAUCCUCCAUCUGAAACGCAAAUUUGGUCAAUGGCAAGAGAAUGAUGGGUCACAGAAGCAUGAUGAUUUAGAAUUCUAUGAGUAUGUUGAAGCAUUAAAGUUAACCGGCAGCCUCUCUGUACCAGCUGGUCAGGUUGUCUUUCGUGCAAAAGUCGGCAAAAGAUAUCAAUUGCCACAUAAAGGCAUCAUUCCUGAAGAAUUUGGAGUGGUCGCAAGAUACAAGGGCCAAGGAAAGAUUGCUGAUCCUGGACAUCAGAAGAACACCCGAUGGGUUGACGGUGAACUUGUGAUCCUUGAUGGAAAGUUCAUCAUAGGAGGCCCUGUUAUCGGCUUUGUUUAUUGGGCACCGGAGUAUCAUUUCAUGGUAUUCUUUGUCCGAUUAAAGCUCCCAGAGUAACAUGUUGUGAUCAAAUAUGAUUGUUCGACAUUGAGCAAGGACCCGAACGAACUUCUUUUGGAGUUAGGGACCAAAAGCGAAUGUAGAGGCAUAGGCAACCUCUUUUCGUAUUGUUUCGUAUUGCUCACCGCAAGCAAAAUACGAAAAUGGCAUCUUCCUCUAUAGAUGACAAUCAUACAUACGAACAUCUUUAGGUAUUUCUGCUUAACUUUUUGUACAUAAAUCAAUAUUCCUGCUAAUUAUCAAACUUUUUUUUUAAAUGUAUCUGAGCCUUUAUCAGUUAUUGUUGUAAUUUGAGACAGUGUAUAAUGGUGUACAAUUGCAUA